CGGAGCGUAGCGCAGCCUGGUAGCGCACCUGAAUGGGGUUCAGGGGGUCGUGAGUUCGAAUCUCGCCGCUCCGA
rnacentral:tRNA from 2 species